rnacentral:lncRNA from 1 species
UUUGGCAUCAGCAAAAGUGGAUGUCUACUAGAGAAUGAUGUAAUAGUGAUGUCUAAAAGUUCUGAAGAAAAGUUAUUUUCCACCCAGAAAAUUACUAUAUUAUUAUUAUUAUUAUUCAACCAAUAAUCCUUUCAGGCACACAAGGAAUUUAAACUUUAUCUAUCAUUAACAUUUUGUAGAAGGUUAUUUGAUUGAAUUCUAUAAAAGAAGAGAGUAAAUCAAUACAUUGGAAGAUUAGGUAAUCCAGGAAAGAGUAAAUUCAUUAUAGGAAAGCAAAGCAAAGAAGUCCCCUAUUUGCGGCUUAUUAGCAGACCUAGAAGACAAAUAAUCUAGGCUGUGACAAAAUGAUGAUGCUCUGUUAAGAAAAAAAAAAAAAACAAGAAACAAACCUCCCAAAACAGAAACAACCUAACAUAAUAAAAAGUAUGACUAAAAAUGGAAAGUAAUUAAGAAUGGUAUAAAGACAAAUAAUAUAAAGAUAAAACAAAGUCAUCAUUCAAAUAUUAAGCAAAUUGAAAUGUGAUAAGAUUUUAAGCAAUUAUUUGGAGGUAAGAAAUAGUAAUCCAUUGGGUCUGAUGCUAGUAACAGUCUCCCAUAUGUAGUACAGAGGUCAUGAUAUUGGUUUCAAAGAGAAGAAAAGUAAUGCUAACACUCUCCAUGGUCUGAUUAUACUCACAAAAUUUUAAAAUAACCCAGGCAAUGUCUUCUAACUUUUAGGGUCAACCUACAAACAAAGCAAAGAAGUCUAGGAUCUGGUUGCAAAACAGAAUAUGAAUAUUAACUGACAAGAUAAAAAUAAAAGUGAAGCUGAUGCAAGUUGAGAAGUGAUAGCUGGAAGAGGUCUGGGUUGGAUGAAAGUGGAGGAAAGAGGAGGGAUGUUAAUAUCUUCCAAUUAGAAAGCAAGAAAACGAGGGAGACUGAUGAAAAUUGAUGGAAACAAUUACAUAGAUCAUUAAUAAAAUAAUUAAAAUAACAACAUGAUUAUCUAGCAGAGAGAAGGAAGGUAGAGGAUGGAUAUAGGGUAAUUGACCUAAAACCUCAUCAUUCAUAUUGAAGAGGCAGUUGAUUUAUUCAUAUAUUAAUACAAAUAAUAGUAACUAACUCUAGCUGAGUAGCAGGAAAGAAAUUUGUUAAAAGAGUAUUAGGAAACAGGCAUAAUUGAGGAGAUAGUAAUAUAACCAAGUCUGGGAUUCCAGGAACAAUGUCUAAUACCACAAAGCAAAACUAAUCUAAUAAGGAAAUUUCUAUCAUGGUGACUGCCUUACUGAAUACUGAAGAAAACCAGCAUUACUGAUGCCUUCAAAGCUCCCCACUCCAUUCCACUGCUGUGCCAACCCACACAACUGAAAAACUGACGCCCAUUUCCUCAAGUCACUUACUUCCAAAUCAAGCUCUCAUACUGCUGAGUCAGACUGGAUAAAAUGAAGUCACGUAUUUGUCCCCUAGCACGUCCCAUGCCUGCAAAGGCUGGGGGACUGAGAUUUCUUAUUUUUAUCUUGUAGGAUUCUCAUGCCUGGAAGUUCACCAGACAUAGUAAGGGUAUCUUAAGGUGCUGCACAAUCAGAAAAUUGAAAAAAUGCAGUCAAAAGUUGAUUUUUUUUUUUUUUGAGACGGAGUUUUGCUCUUGUUGCCCAGGCUGGAUUGCAGUGGUGCGAUCAAUCUCUGCUCACUGCAACCUCCGCCUCCGGGGUUCAAGCGGUUCUCCUGCCUCAGCCUCCUGAGUAGCUGGGAUUAUAGGUGCCCGCCACCACGCCUGGCUAAUUUUUUGUGUUUUUAGUGGAGACAGGGUUUCACCAUGUUGGGCAGGCUGUUCUCAAACACCUGACCUCAGGUGAUCCACUGGCCUCGGCCUCCCAAAGUGCUGGGAUUACAAAAGUGAGCCACCACGCCUGGCCUAAAGUUGAUAAAUUUAAAAAAAAAAAAAAAACAAGGUAUAAGCCGAUAAACUUUGAGAUAGGCACCAGGAGAAAUAAAAAGCAGACAAAUAUAAACAGCUCACAUCCAGGACAGUGAAACAGAGGGUAGAAAGAAAAGUAACAGACGACUUUUUAUAAGAAGCUCUUCAACUGAACUUGUCAUGACCACCAGACUUGCAUUUGAUAACAGUAAAAAUUGAAAAAAAAAAAAAAGAGUAAAGAUGAGGACACAUGCUUAGACAGGUAAACUAGUACAUGAUGGAGUUGGAAAUGAAACCAAGUUUUUCCUUUAAAUACUCAUGGGGUACGAUUUAACUUAAUGUGACAGAUAAGGUGGAGUUUAAGCAGAGCUCUUCAAUGCUAAAUGAUUUCUUAAUUUUAGAGAAUAUUGAGAAAGCCUGCGUUUGUGUGAGAGCCUGAAGAAACAAUGGUGACAGGGAAUUAAGGAGUUUGAAAUAAAAACAAAAGGCCGGACAUUUUCAGUUUUAAAGAAAAUGUCAACUAGGAUAAAUAAAUAUAGAGUUCUGAGGAAAUUGUCAGUGGAGGUAUGAACUAAGCAACCUUGUGAAGGAGAGUUUCUACAGCUAGAAUUGCUGUCUCUUUUGGCUGGACUUUCUGUCUGUUCUGGAGAACAGUUGACUCAUGGCAGACAUUUUGUUUGGUUGAGCCUUCUGAUGGGACAAACUUCAUGAUAUACUGUAAUUUAUUCCGUGGACCCUUUUUGAGCAGUCUGGUGAAGAUUAUGGAAUCACUUUCAGAAUCAUGCAUUUAUGUGCAUACAAUAAGAUUAUGUUUAUAUUACUUAAUACAUCAUUUUAUGCAUACACAAUUCCUACAAAGGAAGGAGUCCCUAGAGGAAAGAAAUGAAAGGAAUGGUGGUCUCUAUGAG